rnacentral:rRNA from 1 species
AUUGAACGCUGGCGGCAUGCUUUACACAUGCAAGUCGAACGGCAGCGCGGGCUUCUUCCUGGCGGCGAGUGGCGAACGGGUGAGUAAUGCAUCGGAACGUGCCCAGUAGUGGGGGAUAGCCCGGCGAAAGCCGGAUUAAUACCGCAUACGACCUGAGGGUGAAAGCGGGGGACCGAAAGGCCUCGCGCUAUUGGAUGUGCCGAUGUCGGAUUAGCUAGUUGGUGGGGUAAAGGCUUACCAAGGCGACGAUCCGUAGCUGGUCUGAGAGGACGACCAGCCACACUGGAACUGAGACACGGCCCAGACUCCUACGGGAGGCAGCAGUGGGGAAUCUUCGGCAAUGGGGGCAACCCUGAUCCAGCCAUGCCGCGUGAGGGAAGAAGGCCUUCGGGUUGUAAACCGCUUUUGUUCGGGAAGAAAUCCUCUGGGCUAAUACCCCGGGGGCAUGACGGUACCGGAAGAAUAAGCACCGGCUAACUACGUG